rnacentral:rRNA from 1 species
AUUGAACGCUGGCGGCAGGCCUAACACAUGCAAGUCGAGCGGUUGCAGGGAGCAGGCUGCUUCAUUCCGCGGCGGACGGGUACGUAAGGGCUAGGACUCUGCCAGGGCGUGGGGGAUGGCGUCAGCUACCGGGAACUGUUACCGCAACCGCAUAGCGUGGCAAGGUGAAGGAUGGUGGGCCCCGACGCUCUCGGAUUCGCCUAGGUCGGAUUAGCUAGUUGGUGGGGUAAAGGCCUACCAAGGCGACGAUCCGUAUCUGGUCUGAGAGGAUGAUCAGUCACACUGGAACUGAGACACGGUCCAGACUCCUACGGGAGGCAGCAGUGGGGAAUAUUGGACAAUGGGCGCAAGCCUGAUGCAGCCAUGCCGCGUGUGUGAAGAAGGUCUUCGGAUUGUAAAGCACUUUAAGUUGGGAGGAAGGGCAGUAAGUUAAUACCUUGCUGUUUUGACGUUACCAACAGAAUAAGCACCGGCUAACUUCGUG